UCGAGCGGCAGCGGGAAAGUAGCUUGCUACUUUUGCCGGCGAGCGGCGGACGGGUGAGUAAUGCCUGGGGAUCUGCCCAGUCGAGGGGGAUAACUACUGGAAACGGUAGCUAAUACCGCAUACGCCCUACGGGGGAAAGCAGGGGACCUUCGGGCCUUGCGCGAUUGGAUGAACCCAGGUGGGAUUAGCUAGUUGGUGAGGUAAUGGCUCACCAAGGCGACGAUCCCUAGCUGGUCUGAGAGGAUGAUCAGCCACACUGGAACUGAGACACGGUCCAGACUCCUACGGGAGGCAGCAGUGGGGAAUAUUGCACAAUGGGGGAAACCCUGAUGCAGCCAUGCCGCGUGUGUGAAGAAGGCCUUCGGGUUGUAAAGCACUUUCAGCGAGGAGGAAAGGUUGGUAGCUAAUAACUGCCAGCUGUGACGUUACUCGCAGAAGAAGCACCGGCUAACUCCG
rnacentral:rRNA from 1 species